rnacentral:misc_RNA from 1 species
UUGGUGAACCAGCGGAGGGAUCAUUACUGAGUUUACGCUCUAUAACCCUUUGUGAACAUACCUACAACUGUUGCUUCGGCGGGUAGGGUCUCCGCGACCCUCCCGGCCUCCCGCCCCCGGGCGGGUCGGCGCCCGCCGGAGGAUAACCAAACUCUGAUUUAACGACGUUUCUUCUGAGUGGUACAAGCAAAUAAUCAAAACUUUUAACAACGGAUCUCUUGGUUCUGGCAUCGAUGAAGAACGCAGCGAAAUGCGAUAAGUAAUGUGAAUUGCAGAAUUCAGUGAAUCAUCGAAUCUUUGAACGCACAUUGCGCCCGCCAGCAUUCUGGCGGGCAUGCCUGUUCGAGCGUCAUUUCAACCCUCAAGCUCUGCUUGGUGUUGGGGCCCUACAGCUGAUGUAGGCCCUCAAAGGUAGUGGCGGACCCUCCCGGAGCCUCCUUUGCGUAGUAACUUUACGUCUCGCACUGGGAUCCGGAGGGACUCUUGCCGUAAAACCCCCCAAUUUUCCAAAGGUUGACCUCGGAUCAUGUAGGAAUACCCGCUGAACUUAG